rnacentral:rRNA from 1 species
CUCGAUAGUCCACGAACACCAAACCUUCUUUUGCAUUUACAGCUUGUGUACUGCCGUUGUAAGCACACCUUUAAAAGAAAUAAGUAUGCUCCUAUGAUCAGACCGCUGACUCAAAAACAUCAGGUCAAAGUGCAGUUCAUAAGAAGGUGAUGAUGGGUUACAACCUAAAAAUAGACAAUAGAUUAAAAGAUAAAAAAUUUUAUGAAAACGGACUUGAAUGUAAUUUAUAGUUAUUAUAAGAAAAUGAAUUAUUAUCUAAGACAUGCACACAUCGCCCGUCACUCUACCCCAAAGGGUAGAUAAGUCGUAACAAAGUAGGUGUAAUGGAAAUUGCACCUGUCGAAAUAUAGCAUAUAAUAAUGCUUUUUACUUACACUAAAAAUAAGAUUCUGAUCUAUUUCGCAAACCACAAUAAAUCUUAAAACCAAGAUAUAAUAAAAACACUUAAAUACUACAUAAAAUAAAGUACAGAAAUGGAAAAAAUAAUUAACUACAGUAAGAUUUAAAAACUAUACCUUGUGCAUUAUGGUUUUACAAGAAAAUUAUUUACAACAUAUGACCCGAAUUCUUAAAUGAGAUGUUAUAUUACUGUUAAGAACCAAUUAAUAGCUGUCGCAAUAGCUUUAACAGAUAACCUAAUAGAGGCUACAUACCAAUCGCAUAAGAAUAUAGCUGGUUCUCAAUAAACAUUAUAUAUUAAAGCAUGUAAACAAGUUACAGUGUUAUAUUAUUGAGGACAAGCCCAAUAAUACAGAGCAAUUUACAUAAUUUAUACUCUUAUAAAACUUAUAGGCCUAAAACCAGCCAAAAAAAGUGCCUUACCGCAAUAAAUGAUGAGAAAAUAUAUAAAUAUUAGAUGCUACAAACAAUUGAGAUAAAAUUUUAAUUAAAUAAACUAUUUAUACUAUGUAAAAAUAAGUAUUAAUAAACAAAUAAAUAAAUAAAUAAAAAAAUAAAACAGACUAUACAUAAUAAUUAACUAAGGAACUAGGCAAACACUUAUUUCGACUGUUUAACAAAAACAUUGCCCUAUGUAACAACAUAUAGGGU